AGAGUUUGAUCCUGGCUCAGGAUGAACGCUAGCUACAGGCUUAACACAUGCAAGUCGAGGGGCAUCAGGACGGUAGCUUGCUAUCGUUGCUGGCGACCGGCGCACGGGUGAGUAACGCGUAUCCAACCUUCCCAUGACUCCGGUUCAGCCCGCCGAAAGGCGGAUUACUCCCGGAUGGUUUCCGAAGAGGGCAUCUGAUUUGGAAUAAAGAUUUAUCGGUCAUGGAUGGGGAUGCGUCCGAUUAGCUAGUUGGCGGGGUAACGGCCCACCAAGGCUACGAUCGGUAGGGGUUCUGAGAGGAAGGUCCCCCACACUGGAACUGAGACACGGUCCAGACUCCUACGGGAGGCAGCAGUGAGGAAUAUUGGUCAAUGGGCGAGAGCCUGAACCAGCCAAGUAGCGUGAGGGAAGACGGCCCUAUGGGUUGUAAACCUCUUUUUCCGGGGAAUAACCGUCGGCACGCGUGCCGGUCUGCAUGUACCCGGAGAAUAAGCAUCGGCUAAUUCCGUGCCAGCAGCCGCGGUAAUACGGAGGACGCGAGCGUUAUCCGGAUUCAUUGGGUUUAAAGGGUGCGCAGGCGGCCGGUCAAGUCAGCGGUGAAAUCCCGGGGCCCAACCCCGGAAGUGCCGUUGAUACUGUUCGGCUUGAAUGCGGUCGAGGCGGGCGGAACGUGGCGUGUAGCGGUGAAAUGCGUAGAUAUGCCACAGAACGCCGAUAGCGGAGGCAGCUCGCCAGGCCUGCAUUGACGCUCGGGCACGAAAGCGUGGGGAUCGAACAGGAUUAGAUACCCUGGUAGUCCACGCCGUAAACGAUGGGCGCUUGUGUUCGGGCGACAGAAGGUCGGCGGCCAAGAGAAAAGCGAUAAGCGCCCCCCCUGGGGAGUACGGUCGCAAGGUUGAAACUCAAAGGAAUUGACGGGGGCCCGCACAAGCGGAGGAGCAUGUGGGUUUAAUUCGAUGAUACGCGAGGAACCUUACCCGGGCUUGAACGUAAGACGAAGAUACAGGAAACUGUAUCGCCUUCGGGCGUUUUGCGAGGUGCUGCAUGGUUGUCGUCAGCUCGUGCCGUGAGGUGUUUGGUUAAGUCCAGCAACGAGCGCAACCCCUGCUGCCAGUUACCAUCAUUAGGUUGGGGACUCUGGCGGGACUGCCCAGAUCAACUGGGAGGAAGGUGGGGACGACGUCAGGUCAGUAUGGCCCUUACGCCUUGGGCUGCACACGUACUACAAUGCCCAGUACAGAGGGAGGCGAGCGUGCGAGCGCGAGCGGAUCCCGAAAAGUGGGCCCAGUUCGGAUUGGAGGCUGCAACCCGCCUCCAUGAAGCCGGAAUCGCUAGUAAUGGCGCAUCAGCUACGGCGCCGUGAAUACGUUCCCGGGUCUUGCACUCACCGCCCGUCAAG
rnacentral:rRNA from 1 species